GUGUGUGUGUGUGUGUGUGUGUUUGGGGUGGCUUAGGGUGGGGGAUCCAGCUGGCCUGUCAGGGGUCUCCCAAUCGCGUGUGAACAGCAUACAGAGGGUGAAAACACUGAAACACUCAACAGGCUGCAGAGGUCAACUAGGAUGAGUGCCUGUGGAACUUUGGCUGGAGUUGUUGUCCACUCGCUUUGGAACACAAGGAAUGGACAGCUGAGCUGGAGACGGACACAGAAAUGCACACAGCGUUAAGUCUGCACGUGUGUGUGUGUGUUCUUGUAUUUCUACCAUUCUUGAGACAUCAGCAAGGAAAAGUACCUUCCAUAUGAGAACCGGUGAACCGAAAUCAUGGUCCCAAUACAGAAAAUCAUUGCAUCUCAUAGAGAGGCAAAUACUUGAGUCCGUGAACAUUGCUCCAAAGUCAGGAUUUUUUUGUUGAUUUAAUGUGCAUACAAAAGUAACCAUCGACAGGUGCAAAGGGAGAAAUAUAUGAUAAAACAAGACGGGAGCUCAAGAAGGACUUCUCUAUUUCUCCCCGAAAACAUCCGCCGGGUGAACAGCUGGUUUUACGACUUUCGGUGCUGACAUAAGACAACCCCCGUCCCAUAUGUGUCCAAAGGAUCAACAAAUACACUACGGUACUAAGACUAUACUUAGCUUCUACAGCUGGGUUGCCCAAAGUGUAGCAGAGGUGUCAUCUGUGGUCCGUGACUCGUUUGUCAUCGACCUUAAGCACAUUACAAAAAAACAAAAAAUAGAGAUUUCAUUUGCACCCCUGGUGAUGAAAUCUAUCAAAAUUAGGGUGGUCCCAAUAAAAAGAGAUUUUUAAAA